GACUUUUUAGAAGACGCAGCUGGAUUAGAGCAUGUGCGGGUAAUCUCACAGGUCAGGAGAAUCAGGGCAGUGAUCGUGCGGUUUAGAGUAUUAGUGUUAGAUUUACAGCAUUUGUUUUUGUGAGGAGAAUUAUACUCAUUUGAGCUUACAAUUUGAUUUGGUGAGAGUGUGCUGUAAUAAGUAGCUUGAGGAUUUGGUUUAUGUAAUAUUAAGAGGUGUAA
rnacentral:lncRNA from 1 species